rnacentral:rRNA from 1 species
AGUGAACGCUGGCGGUAGGCCUAACACAUGCAAGUCGAACGGCAGCACAGGAGAGCUUGCUCUCUGGGUGGCGAGUGGCGGACGGGUGAGGAAUACAUCGGAAUCUACUCUGUCGUGGGGGAUAACGUAGGGAAACUUACGCUAAUACCGCAUACGACCUACGGGUGAAAGCAGGGGACCUUCGGGCCUUGCGCGAUUGAAUGAGCCGAUGUCGGAUUAGCUAGUUGGCGGGGUAAAGGCCCACCAAGGCGACGAUCCGUAGCUGGUCUGAGAGGAUGAUCAGCCACACUGGAACUGAGACACGGUCCAGACUCCUACGGGAGGCAGCAGUGGGGAAUAUUGGACAAUGGGCGCAAGCCUGAUCCAGCCAUACCGCGUGGGUGAAGAAGGCCUUCGGGUUGUAAAGCCCUUUUGUUGGGAAAGAAAUCCAGCUGGCUAAUACCCGGUUGGAACGACGGUACCCAAUGAAUAAGCACCGGCUAACUUCGUGCCAGCCGCCGCGGUAA